rnacentral:tRNA from 1 species
GACGGUUUGGCCGAGUGGUCUAAGACGCCAGAUUUAGGCUCUGGUUCGAAAGGGUGUGGGUUCAAAUCCCACAGCCGUCA